AGCAGAUAGAAAGAACCACGAGACUUUUACCAGCCAAUGAACUUCAGUAUAAGAACCCAGCAAGCUAAUGCAGUUUGAUGCUUUAAGCAGUUACAGCCUUUAGAAUAUUCACCUUUGAGUUGUAGCUGUUGUUUUUCUGAUAAUGGAUCCAGCUGUGAUUAUCAUCUUACUUCUCUACAGAAUAGACUGAACUCAAGCAGUGGGAAAUUCAGAGCCGUUGGUCAUCUCAGCUGGGCCCGGUGAAGCAGACACACUCACCUGCACAUUUGCAGACAACUCAAAUAAAAAUGUUAGCAUGUGGUACAAACAAAGACUGGAGCAUGCGCCACUGGAAGUGGGAUCACUGUUAGAAGGAAAGUCGGCCAUGAUUUCAGAUCAAUUUUACAAAUCAAAAAGAUUUAAAAUCAACAGAAUUGCGAGUGGCAUUUGAACGUGUCACUAAAGAAGAUGAAGGAAUGUACUUCUGUGGAGAGACCAGAAAGAAAACACUGGACUUUACUACUGCUACAUUCUUAGCGGUCAAAGGACAGUUAAACAUAUCAGUGCUCCAGACUCCAGUACAGGGGUCAGUUUCUCCAGGAGAGUCAGUCACUCUGCAGUGCACGGUCCUCUCUGAGAUCAGAGCAGCAGAACUCCGAGUGCUCUGGUUCAGAGCUGCUGCAGGACAAUCCUUUCCUGAAAUCAUUUACACUCAUCAGAACAGCAGCAGCCGUCAGUGUGGGAUCAGCUUUUCUACAAGCUGCUCUCUGUAUGAGUUAUAUAAGGACAUCCUCAACUACAACCAUACUGGAACUUACUACUGCUCUGUGGCUGCUUGUGGGAAGAUCAUUUUUGGGAACGGGACAACAGUAGAAGUAAAAGCUCCUGUAGGUCCUGUAAUGCUGAUUCUGGCAGUUUUCUCAGCAGUGUGUGUGGCUGUAAUCUGCGCUCAACUCAUUUUAAUCCAUAAACUGAGAAAAUCUGAACACCACCCUGGUGAGAAAGUUCAGGAGGGGGCUGUGAGUGUGAGGACCACCAGACAGAUUCUGCUCAAGCUGUACAUCUUUCUGAAGCAUCAUUCAUCUCAGCUGAGUCUGGAGAAAAUGUUACUCUACACUGCAAAUUCAUGAAGAACCUGUGGAUUCUUUUGUGCUUUGUCUGGGAGCAGCUUUGGGAGUGUGUGUGGUUGUGAUCUCUGCUCAAGCCUUUAUAACCUGUAAAAGGAGAAACAGUGACCACUGCAGUGACAAAACAUGUCAGUCUGUCAUCCACAGUUUCCCAGAGAUGCUGCAAGACCAGGACUCAGAUGAAGAAUUCAAUUUCGCACCAUUAAAUUUAUCAGACAAGAGAUGACUGCUGAAGGAGAACGUGUUCACCCGAGUGAGAUUCUUCCGUUUCUGACUACAGAGCAAUCCAGAAACACAAUAUUGCUGAAAAAUGAAGAAAAUAAAUCAUAUUGAGUUAAAAGUAUUCAUAAAAAUUGUCAGUGUUUUCUAGACAUUUCUUUCUUUCUUUCUUUCUUAUUGUUUUUCUUAUAGCAUAUACAAACCAGCUGAAAACAUCACCAAGUAACUGUCAGACAUUAAAUAUAUUUCUUGUUGAAACCGUUAAAAAUCAUAAGCUAAUUUUGUGUAGCUAUUUAGCAUUUAGUGAUGUUUAUGUAAAUUUACUGUCAUGAUUGUAAAUAUGAAACUGUCAAUGGAAAAUGUCACAUUAAAGAAAUUACAUUUUUCAGAAA